UCUGUCUCUAGACUAAUUUAUGGGGCUUCUUGAUGAGUGUCCUUGCGAUCGGCGAAGGGUCCACGCUUGCGGCAGAUCAUUCUAAUUUGGAAGAAAAUAAAGUAUCAGAAUAUUUAUGGACAAUAAUUUUUAUUGUAAUAAGAAAUUCAGUAGCGAAGUAUCAUCAAUUUAUUGGAAACGUAUAAGGAAAUUUGACUUCGAGUGAAAAAAUAUUACCGGGCAUGUAUCCUUCAAAUGUGCAAGAAAUACCGG